rnacentral:rRNA from 1 species
GACACGCUGGCGGCAGGCCUAAUACAUGCAAGUCGAGCGGGUCCUUCGGGAUUAGCGGCGGACGGGUGAGUAACGCGUGGGAACGUGCCCUUUGGUACGGAACAACUGAGGGAAACUUCAGCUAAUACCGUAUGUGCCCUUCGGGGGAAAGAUUUAUCGCCAUUGGAGCGGCCCGCGUUGGAUUAGGUAGUUGGUGAGGUAAAGGCUCACCAAGCCUACGAUCCAUAGCUGGUCUGAGAGGAUGACCAGCCACACUGGGACUGAGACACGGCCCAGACUCCUACGGGAGGCAGCAGUAGGGAAUCUUGCGCAAUGGGCGAAAGCCUGACGCAGCCAUGCCGCGUGAAUGAUGAAGGUCUUAGGAUUGUAAAAUUCUUUCACCGGGGACGAUAAUGACGGUACCCGGAGAAGAAGCCCCGGCUAACUUCGUG